rnacentral:rRNA from 1 species
GUGGGGAUUAGUGGCGAACGUGUGUGAGUAACACGUGGGCAAUCUGCCCUGCACUCUGGGACAAGCCCUGGAAACGGGGUCUAAUACCGGAUACUGAUCGCCUUGGGCAUCCUUGGUGAUCGAAAGCUCCGGCGGUGCAGGAUGAGCCCGCGGCCUAUCAGCUUGUUGGUGAGGUAAUGGCUCACCAAGGCGACGACGGGUAGCCGGCCUGAGAGGGCGACCGGCCACACUGGGACUGAGACACGGCCCAGACUCCUACGGGAGGCAGCAGUGGGGAAUAUUGCACAAUGGGCGAAAGCCUGAUGCAGCGACGCCGCGUGAGGGAUGACGGCCUUCGGGUUGUAAACCUCUUUCAGCAGGGAAGAAGCGAAAGUGACGGUACCUGCAGAAGAAGCGCCGGCUAACUACGUGCCAGCAGCCGCGGUAAUACGUAGGGCGCGAGCGUUGUCCGGAAUUAUUGGGCGUAAAGAGCUCGUAGGCGGCUUGUCGCGUCGGUUGUGAAAGCCCGGGGCUUAACCCCGGGUCUGCAGUCGAUACGGGCAGGCUAGAGUUCGGUAGGGGAGAUCGGAAUUCCUGGUGUAGCGGUGAAAUGCGCAGAUAUCAGGAGGAACACCGGUGGCGAAGGCGGAUCUCUGGGCCGAUACUGACGCUGAGGAGCGAAAGCGUGGGGAGCGAACAGGAUUAGAUACCCUGGUAGUCCACGCCGUAAACGGUGGGCACUAGGUGUGGGCGACAUUCCACGUCGUCCGUGCCGCAGC